UCCAACGGCGCAACGUUCCCCACCCAACUCCUCGGCUCAUCCUCACGCAUCGGGGGGUAGCGCCCGCAUCCAUCGCAUCCACCGCCGCGGCCGCAUCCAUCGCAUCCACCGCCGUCGCCCAUCCCCGUCCUCCCCCACCGCGUCGCCGAUACAGCGCCGCCAUUGCCGUCGCUCCCCCACCGCGUCGCUCCCCCACCACGCCGCCGACCCCAGCGCCGCCAUCGCCGUCGCUCCCCCACCACGCCGUCAACCCCAGUGCCGCCAUCGCCGACCUCCUCCACCGCGUCGCCCAUCGCCGUCCUCCCCCACCGCGUCGCCGACACAGCGUCCUCCCCGCCCCCCCAUUUUAGUCCAUCGUCGUCUCGCCGUUCAGCCACCGCUCUGCCGCUGAGGCCACCGGCAUACGUCGAUUCAUCACCGUCAGGUCGCCAUCCAUCUCGCCUCCUCGUCGUGCCCUCCAUUCGUCGCACCGCAAACAUCCACGGUGAGAUCCUCUGGAUCCCGCGGUCUCCGAUCCGCCACUGGCCGCCGCCCCGAUCUCAUACGCGACUCCCUUGCCAUGUUCGUCUUCGCCCGACUCCGCCUCACACUCCGUCGACGACAACCACGCCUCCUCAUCCGCCAUUGACCGCCGUCCCCCUUCUCUCCACCGCGCCGCCGUCCUCGCAGCCCUCUCCGCCCACGCCAUCCGCCACUGACCGCCGCCUCCUUCCUUUCUGAUCUCCAUUCCUUGAGUCUAAUCCCCAUUCUCUGAUUUUUUUUCUUUGUUAUUUGCGUGUGUGCAGGACAGCGGGAACGAGACUACGAGAGUCUAACAAUGGUAGAGCACCUUGCAGACUGGAUAGAUUGAUGUGUAGGUGCUGAUCUGAUGAUGAGCUAAGAACAAACUGAAGGUACUGAGAUCUGAGGGAUUAACCUGUUUCAAAGAAAACUGGGAUUAGCUCAAUUUUUUUUGGCACAGUGUAGGUGCUGAUCUGAUGAUGCGCUAAGAACAAACUGAAGGGUAUCGUUGGUGAGGUGUAACUUGCCAAGGACUGCAUCUUCAUCAUUGCCUGGGUGUCCACCUCGCUGAUCUCGUCCACGCCACCAUAACUCCAUCAGCAAGCCUCACUGAUCUGCUCCGCUUCGCCUCCGGGACUCCAUCCCCUGCUUCUCUGAUCUGGGACGCCGACGAGCCAUGGACUCCUGCAUCGAAGCACUGCCACCUCCUCCGCCUUGAGCAUCACUGUCGCCAUGAGGUCAUUGAAUGCCCAUGCCCCCUUUUGCAAAUACCUACUUGUUUUUCAAGUUUAUGUUGAAUGAAGCUAUCAGUUCUCUUUCUGUUCGAUUUGCCACCACUAUUUGAUAACCUAGGAAUGGCAGGUAAUGCCAAUGCUCCCAGGUUGCAUUGCUCUGUUUUUUUCCUAGAAGAUAGAGUAUUAUAUGUUGCUUCACUGAAAUAGUAGGUCUGGCCAUUAUUACCAUGCACCCGCUCAAAAUAGCAUGUCUGAUCUGGGGCCUGGGUGCAUAUCCAAGUCACUAUCGAUCGCCUGCUGUCCGGUCUCCGUCGCCCCUUCAUCAGGUUGACGUCGAUGCGUCGCCAACGCUGCGCCUUGCUGCAGUACACUCUGGUAUUGUAGCCCAUCCUCUUUCACGUUUAUACAUUCUCUCUUUGAAGUUGAAGGAAAGUAAAUUACAAUUUUCUGUGUAUACGUUGCAUUUUUCCUUAGAGAUGGUAUAUGCUGCUUUAUUUCCUAUAGGGGUAUAUACUGAAUUUUAUACAGCAGUAUAUGCUGUAAUUUUCCAUAGAGGUAUGUACUGACAUUAUAGUAUACAUAUGCUUCUAUUUUCCAUAGGGAGGUAUGUAAUGAUAUUACAGUAUAUGCUAAAUUUUCUAUAGAGAUACUAGGAUUUGGGAAAAUCGGUGACACACAGGUAUUUCAUUAAGCGCCUCAUGAUCUGGUUUGGUCUGCUUAUGAUAUCAGCAGGGAAUCACUAAUUUAUAAGAGCUUGGUGAUGUUACUAAUUUAACUGCACAUGUGUAACACCCUAAAAAGAAAAAAAAAAGAAAAAGCUAGCUAGCAGCCAGCCCAGCAGCAGCAGGCCAUGGGCCUUGGCCCAUGCAUGCACGCGUGCAGCAAGCAAGCGAGCAGUAGCGGCAGCUUGUAGCCAGCUUAGUACCACCUCGGCUAGCUAGCUCUAUCUACACUAGCUUAAAUAGGAGAUAUUACCGGUGACUGUAAACUCCGAUUCCGGAAUUUUUGCGACCAAUGCCGUUUUCGGGCCCUGGGCUGUCACAACAUGUUAUGUCCUUUUUGUAUUUAUUGGGAUCAAUUGUUUCCGGUAUGCAAGGUUUAUGGUUCUUUAGGGUGCUGAGAUAUUGUACACCCCAUGAUAAUUUGCCCAGACUUCCAUGAACACUGGAGGUGUGUCAUGCAAGGCCAUGUUGGUGCUAGCUUGGUAUUGCCAUUUGAGAAAAAGUUGUUUGAAACGAUCUACUCUAAAGGAUACAAUGGACCUGUGAAGAAGAGAAGCAUCCUUUUCAAUUUGCCAUACUGAGGAUUUUUCUUUUCAUGACAAUCUUGACUUGAUACAUAUGAUCGUGCAAAAUAACAUUUUGUCAUGCACUUUUAGGUCGGUCAGAACAUGGCAAAUCAUUUCACAUAUAGCUAUUUCCCCUCGGUUGCCAGCUACCAGCUACCAAAGCAUCACCAACCUUCAAGUGCAGAAUAGGCAAAUUACAUGGCAUUGUUCUAUUUUAUGUUAAAUAUUAGUGACACAUGUUACAAAAUCCUGAGUUAAUUUUUUUAAACCUACUAGGUGUUACCACAAUAUAUAUUGAUGUAUUCUCAUUAAGAACAAUGUAUAUAUAUUAUUCCUCUAAUGUAAAGAUAUUGUUGUUUAUCUAUUCAA